rnacentral:rRNA from 1 species
CCCUUAGAUGUUCUGGGCCGCACGCGCGCUACACUGACGAUGGCAACGAGUUUUUCCUUCGCAGAAAGGUGUGGGUAAUCUUUUGAAACAUCGUCGUGCUGGGGAUAGAUCAUUGCAAUUUUUGAUCUUGAACGAGGAAUUCCUAGUAAGCGCGAGUCAUCAGCUCGCGUUGAUUACGUCCCUGCCCUUUGUACACACCGCCCGUCGCUACUACCGAUUGAAUGGUUUAGUGAGGACUCCUGAUUGGCGCCGCCGCCCCGGCAACGGAGCAGCGGACUGCCGAAAAGUUGUUCAAACUUGAUCAUUUAGAGGAAGUAAAAGUCGUAACA